GGCGGCAUGCUUACACUUGCAAGUCGAACGGCAGCGGGGGAAAGCUUGCUUUCCUGCCGGCGAGUGGCGAACGGGUGAGUAAUACAUCGGAACGUGCCCUGUAGUGGGGGAUAACUAGUCGAAAGAUUAGCUAAUACCGCAUACGACUGAGGGUGAAAGUGGGGGACCGCAAGGCCUCAUGCUAUAGGAGCGGCCGAUGUCUGAUUAGCUAGUUGGUGGGGUAAAGGCCCACCAAGGCGACGAUCAGUAGCUGGUCUGAGAGGACGAUCAGCCACACUGGGACUGAGACACGGCCCAGACUCCUACGGGAGGCAGCAGUGGGGAAUUUUGGACAAUGGGCGAAAGCCUGAUCCAGCAAUGCCGCGUGUGUGAAGAAGGCCUUCGGGUUGUAAAGCACUUUUGUCCGGAAAGAAAUGGCUCUGGUUAAUACCUGGGGUCGAUGACGGUACCGGAAGAAUAAGGACCGGCUAACUACGUGCCAGCAGCCGCGGUAAUACGUAGGGUCCAAGCGUUAAUCGGAAUUACUGGGCGUAAAGCGUGCGCAGGCGGUUGUGCAAGACCGAUGUGAAAUCCCCGAGCUUAACUUGGGAAUUGCAUUGGUGACUGCACGGCUAGAGUGUGUCAGAGGGGGGUAGAAUUCCACGUGUAGCAGUGAAAUGCGUAGAGAUGUGGAGGAAUACCGAUGGCGAAGGCAGCCCCCUGGGAUAACACUGACGCUCAUGCACGAAAGCGUGGGGAGCAAACAGGAUUAGAUACCCUGGUAGUCCACGCCCUAAACGAUGUCAACUAGUUGUUGGGGAUUCAUUUCCUUAGUAACGUAGCUAACGCGUGAAGUUGACCGCCUGGGGAGUACGGUCGCAAGAUUAAAACUCAAAGGAAUUGACGGGGACCCGCACAAGCGGUGGAUGAUGUGGAUUAAUUCGAUGCAACGCGAAAAACCUUACCUACCCUUGACAUGCCACUAACGAAGCAGAGAUGCAUUAGGUGCUCGAAAGAGAAAGUGGACACAGGUG
rnacentral:rRNA from 1 species